rnacentral:rRNA from 1 species
CCUACGGGAGGCUGCAGUGGGGAAUAUUGCACAAUGGGGGAAACCCUGAUGCAGCGACGCCGCGUGAGUGAAGAAGUAAUUCGUUACGUAAAGCUCUAUCAGCAGGGAAGAAAAUGACGGUAAGUGAGUAAGAAGCUUUGGCUAAUUACGUGCCAGCAGCCGCGGUAAUACGUAGGGGGCAAGCGUUAUCCGGAUUUACUGGGUGUAAAGGGAGCGUAGACGGUAGUGCAAGUCUGGAGUGAAAGGCGGGGGUUCAACCCCCGGAGUGCACUGGAAACUGUACGGCUGGAGUGCAGGAGAGGUAAGUGGAAUUCCUAGUGUAGCGGUGAAAUGCGUAGAUAUUAGGAGGAACACCAGUGGCGAAAGCGGCUUACUGGACUGUAACUGACGUUGAGGCUCGAAAGCGUGGGGAGCAAACAGGAUUAGAUACCCGGGUAGUC